AACAAAGAAGUAAAAUUUACAUUUAGUUUCGACCUAAAAUUAGAGGAACAACCCUACUUGUUU
rnacentral:tRNA from 1 species